rnacentral:rRNA from 1 species
CCCGCUGAACUUAAGCAUAUCAAUAAGCGGAGGAAAAGAAACUAACAAGGAUUCCCCUAGUAACUGCGAGUGAGGCGGGAAAAGCUCAAAUUUGAAAUCUGGCAGCUCUUUGAACUGUCCGAGUUGUAAUCUAGAGAAGUGUUACCUGUGCUGGACCGUGUACAAGUCUCCUGGAAUGGAGCGUCACAGAGGGUGAGAAUCCCGUCUUUGACAUGGACUGCCUGCACGUUAUGGUGCGCUCUCAAAGAGUCGAGUUGUUUGGGAAUGCAGCUCAAAAUGGGUGGUAAAUGCCAUCUAAAGCUAAAUAUUGGCGAGAGACCGAUAGCGAACAAGUACCGUGAGGGAAAGAUGAAAAGAACUUUGGAAAGAGAGUUAAACAGUACGUGAAAUUGCUGAAAGGGAAACGCUUGAAGUCAGUCGCGUCUGCUAGAAAUCAACCUCGCUUUUGCUUGGUGUACUUUCUUGUUUGACGGGUCAGCAUCAAUUUUGACCAUUGGAUAAAGUCGUUGGGAAUGUGGCAUCUUAGGAUGUGUUAUAGCCCAUUGUCGCAUACGGUGGUUGGGAUUGAGGAACUCAGCACGCCCGCAAGGGACGGGUUUCGACCACGUUCGUGCUUAGGAUGCUGGCAUAAUGGCUUUAAUCGGCCCGUCUUGAAACACGG